rnacentral:rRNA from 2 species
CGGUAAUACGUAGGUGGCAAGCGUUGUCCGGAUUUAUUGGGCGUAAAGCGAGCGCAGGCGGUUUUUUAAGUCUGAUGUGAAAGCCUUCGGCUUAACCGGAGAAGUGCAUCGGAAACUGGGAGACUUGAGUGCAGAAGAGGACAGUGGAACUCCAUGUGUAGCGGUGGAAUGCGUAGAUAUAUGGAAGAACACCAGUGGCGAAGGCGGCUGUCUAGUCUGUAACUGACGCUGAGGCUCGAAAGCAUGGGUAGCGAACAGGAUUAGAUACCCUGGUAGUCCAUGCCGUAAACGAUGAGUGCUAAGUGUUGGAGGGUUUCCGCCCUUCAGUGCUGCAGCUAACGCAUUAAGCACUCCGCCUGGGGAGUACGACCGCAAGGUUGAAACUCAAAGGAAUUGACGGGGGCCCGCACAAGCGGUGGAGCAUGUGGUUUAAUUCGAAGCUACGCGAAGAACCUUACCAGGUCUUGACAUCUUCUGCCAAUCUUAGAGAUAAGACGUUCCCUUCGGGGACAGAAUGACAGGUGGUGCAUGGUUGUCGUCAGCUCGUGUCGUGAGAUGUUGGGUUAAGUCCCGCAACGAGCGCAACCCUUAUUAUCAGUUGCCAGCAUUCAGUUGGGCACUCUGGUGAGACUGCCGGUGACAAACCGGAGGAAGGUGGGGAUGACGUCAAAUCAUCAUGCCCCUUAUGACCUGGGCUACACACGUGCUACAAUGGACGGUACAACGAGUCGCGAAGUCGUGAGGCUAAGCUAAUCUCUUAAAGCCGUUCUCAGUUCGGAUUGUAGGCUGCAACUCGCCUACAUGAAGUUGGAAUCGCUAGUAAUCGCGGAUCAGCAUGCCGCGGUGAAUACGUUCCCGGGCCUUGUACACACCGCCCGUCACACCAUGAGAGUUUGUAACACCCAAAGCCGGUGAGAUAACC